rnacentral:rRNA from 1 species
GGCGGACGGGUGAGUAAUGCUUAGGAAUCUGCCUAUUAGUGGGGGACAACAUUCCGAAAGGAAUGCUAAUACCGCAUACGCCCUACGGGGGAAAGCAGGGGAUCUUCGGACCUUGCGCUAAUAGAUGAGCCUAAGUCAGAUUAGCUAGUUGGUGGGGUAAAGGCCUACCAAGGCGACGAUCUGUAGCGGGUCUGAGAGGAUGAUCCGCCACACUGGGACUGAGACACGGCCCAGACUCCUACGGGAGGCAGCAGUGGGGAAUAUUGGACAAUGGGCGAAAGCCUGAUCCAGCCAUGCCGCGUGUGUGAAGAAGGCCUUUUGGUUGUAAAGCACUUUAAGCGAGGAGGAGGCUACUGAGAUUAAUACUCUAGGAUAGUGGACGUUACUCGCAGAAUAAGCACCGGCUAACUCUGUGCCAGCAGCCGCGGUAAUACAGAGGGUGCGAGCGUUAAUCGGAUUUACUGGGCGUAAAGCGUGCGUAGGCGGCUUUUUAAGUCGGAUGUGAAAUCCCUGAGCUUAACUUAGGAAUUGCAUUCGAUACUGGGAAGCUAGAGUAUGGGAGAGGAUGGUAGAAUUCCAGGUGUAGCGGUGAAAUGCGUAGAGAUCUGGAGGAAUACCGAUGGCGAAGGCAGCCAUCUGGCCUAAUACUGACGCUGAGGUACGAAAGCAUGGGGAGCAAACAGGAUUAG